rnacentral:tRNA from 1 species
AGUCUAGAUUAGUUUAUAAAAAUGUCAUCUUGUCAGGAUGGAGUUACUAUAGAAUAUAGUAUUUAGUUG